CCUACGGGUGGCUGCAGUCGAGAAUCUUUCACAAUGGGGGAAACCCUGAUGGUGCGACGCCGCGUGGGGGAAUGAAGGUCUUCGGAUUGUAAACCUCUUUUGCCGGGGAGCAACGGGCGUCACGUGUGGCGUAACUGAGAGUACCCGGAGAAAAAGCAUCGGCUAAAUUCGUGCCAGCAGCCGCGGUAAUACGGAGGAUGCGAGCGUUAUCCUGAUGUAUGGGGUUUAAAGGGUGAGUAGGCGGAUCGUUAAGUCAGUGGUCAAAUUGAGGGGCUCAACCCCUUCCCGCCAUUGAAACUGGCGCUCUUGAGUGGAAGAGAGGUAUGCGGAAUGCGUGGUGUAGCGGUGAAAUGCAUAGAUAGCACGCAGAACCCCGAUUGCGAAGGCAGCAUGCCGGCUUCCGACUGACGCUGAAGCACGAAAGCGUGGGGAUCGAACAGGAUUAGAUACCCGUGUAGUC
rnacentral:rRNA from 1 species